UACGUAGGGUGCAAGCGUUGUCCGGAAUUAUUGGGCGUAAAGAGCUCGUAGGCGGUUUGUCGCGUCUGCUGUGAAAACCCGAGGCUCAACCUCGGGCCUGCAGUGGGUACGGGCAGACUAGAGUGCGGUAGGGGGAGAUUGGAAUUCCUGGUGUAGCGGUGGAAUGCGCAGAUAUCAGGAGGAACACCAAUGGCGAAGGCAGAUCUCUGGGCCGUAACUGACGCUGAGGAGCGAAAGCUGGGGAGCAAACAGG
rnacentral:rRNA from 1 species